rnacentral:tRNA from 1 species
GUGGGUGUAGCUCAGUUGGUAGAGCACAGGAUUGUGGUUCCUGCGGUCGUGGGUUCGAACCCCAUCACCCACCCCA